UACGUAGGCAGCAAGCGUUGUUCGGAGUUACUGGGCGUAAAGGGUGUGUAGGCGGCUUCGUAAGUUCGGUGUGAAAUCUCCCGGCUCAACUGGGAGGGUGCGCCGGAAACUGCGGAGCUGGAGCGCAGGAGAGGAAAGCAGAAUUCCUGGUGUAGCGGUGAAAUGCGUAGAUAUCAGGAGGAAUACCGGUGGUGAAGGCGGCUUUCUGGACUGCUGCUGACGCUGAUACACGAAAGCGUGGGGAGCAAACAGG
rnacentral:rRNA from 1 species